rnacentral:rRNA from 1 species
CAAGAAUAUUAGUCAAUGCUCGUAAGAGUGAACUAGCUAACUGAAAUCACAAACAUCAUUUAUUUGAUACAUGUGAUAAGGUAAAGGAAAAAAAUGAUAUUACUUUACUAUUAGUGUUGUCCAAAGCUGGUGCCAGAAGACUCGGUAAGGCCAGAAACGCAAACGUUAGUCGUCUUAAUCAGGCGUAAAGGGUUUGUAGGCUGCUUUUAAAUGAAUAAAAGCUAGAAUCAAAUUGAAGAUAAACCAAAUAAUACUUAGAGUAGGGUUGAUAUCUAUAGAUACUAAGGGGAAUACUAACGGUGAAAACUUUUUAUCUAAUAAUGAUUGACGCUGAGAAACGAAGGUGAGAAUAGGAAAUAGGAUUAGAUACCCAGAUACCUCUCACUGUCAACGAUGAAUGGUAGUUGUUAGUUCAUAUUUAUAAAUACUAGUAACGAUGUUAACACGUUAACCAUUCCGCCUUGCGAGUACGGUUGCAAAACUAAAACCAAAAAAAUUAGUCGGUCUCGAAGCAAACGAAGUGAAGCAUGUUAUUUAAUUCGAUA